UUGGCAACCUGGAAGAGAUCACAAGUCUAGAGAGGCAGGCAGAGAGGAGAAAGCAGGUUCCCUGCUGAGCAGAGAACCCGACAUGGGGCUCCAUCCCAGGACCCUGGGAUCAUGACCUGAGCCAAAAGCAGAGCUUUAACCCCCUGAGCCACCCAGGCGCCCCUCAUGUAUGUUUACUCAAAACGAACCUUUCUUACGCUCUUAAGAUCACCACGAGCAAAUGAAAUGCACUCGGCCCCUCGCUGCCAUUUCGCAGGCGGCGACUUGCCCAAGUCACGCCGCUAUUUUAAGGUACGAGUCAGCGCGGGAGGUGAAGCAAGCUAACGUCCUCUCCCCAACAGGGCCUACUAAGAGGAGCACCGGAAUUCAAGGCCACCAAGCAGGGAGUGUCCCAGGUGCGGUAGGAUGCCUACACGCCGCCCAAGUUUCGCUGAAGUAAAAUCCAAAGCCGCCGCGCGCACCCCGAGAGUACUCCAGUCCCCCCGGAAGCUGGAGCACGUGGCAGAGGCCGCCGGGCGCGCUGCACCUGGGCCCCGCUGCUGGCCCCUUCUCCCCCGCCUCCGCCGGCGAUGUUGAUGGCUGCCGCUCCGCCCGGAGGGCCUGGCAGGGAGGCCCGGCCAGGAGAGAAAAACGGCCGCCCGCAGGCCGACCCCGCCGCCGAUCUGGGCCCGCACUCACCGUGACCGUCACCUCAUCGUCAUGCAAGAUGAGGGCCGAGUAAAUGCAGGCGAGCUCCGAGACGGAGGCCAUGGCGCUGGCGAGUGCUGAGCGGACGCUGCCGGGCGCGGUGCUAGUCGCCGGAUGAAGUGAGGGCCUCACCCCAACACGGCCUUAGCUUCCUCGGAAGAACCGAGCACCUUAGCGGCAGCUGAGGAAAGGACGUUUCGCGCCUGCGCGCAGCUUCUUAUACGGAUCACGCGGACCAAUCGGUGCCCGGGCCUGGCGGAAGAGGCGGAGCGAGGACGGCGCGCCCCGACCACUGUUGCGCCUGCGCAUAAAGCGCGACUCGCUCAUAAUCGAGUUCAUGAAGUUGGUGGCUCUUGAGACUGCAAGUUUCUUGAGUUCGGCUAAAAUUCAGGGCUCGUGAACAGUAAGAAUAUUUUAAGGAAAAAGAUAUCAAAGUAAAUGGAUUUCACCCCUAUCUACUGUAGCCCGUGUGACACUUUUUGGACGUUUAAUGACGUCGUCAGCCUCCCGGCGCUGUGCCCCCCUGGAGCGCAGGAGCUAAAUCUCAGCUUAAAGGUUUCUUGUGCUCAGCGCAGCGUCUCAGGUAAAUUAAGCGGUGGAGGAGGAAAUGAGAAGCUUGCAGCGCGACGAUAGCAGUAUCAUUGGAGCGCCCACUGUGUCGUAGGCACUGAGUCACACUCUACAAGGAUUCAUUUAAUCCUCACACAGCAGAAGAGUGAACAUUUACCACUAUAACGAGAUCAAGAGGCAAGUUCGGAGAAAUGAAUUACACGAAGAGAUGUCAUCCUUGACUGAAGCCUCCAGCCUCCCUCCUUACAGGUGAUCUCAGUCAGCCUCUGAGAGCAUUAGGAGCACUAGCCAAGUGUGAAUAAGCAUGAGCAAUCUCCCUUAACUCCUAUUACUGCUCUCACUGAGCCUUCUGACAUGCUCAGCCCCACUGCUGCAGUCUGCUAGAGGGCCCAGCUGUUCCAAGGGGUAAACAAAAACCACGUAUGUCCUCUUAAAAGUGGAUGUUAGGGAGAUGGGGUGAUACUGGAAAUACUAGAGGAAGAAGCACACGCACAGAAAGGCCCAGUUAGUCAGAACUCACUUGGGUUGUGCAUGAUGCUGAUAUCCAGGUCCCAGAUGAGAUCCUGCUCUCAUCUCCACAGCCACAGAACACGGAUAAGAAAAUUACAGAAAAGGAAAAGAUCAGCUCCUCUAUAGUCUGUAAACACAGUUGUGCUCAGAUGGGUUCAUCCAUGGUGGGAUCCCACAUUGCUUUCUAGUGCAGCACAGACAGCUAUGUUAACAGGUAUGUGCAGGUUAUUUGACAUAGGCCACAAAAGAUGGUGAGCUGGAAAAGUCUCUAGAGGUCAUGCAGGUAAUUUCCUUGAGAGGGUUAGUGGCCAGAGCUUGGCUUUCUAAUGCCACUUACCCUUCCUGCGCUUGCUCUAGAAGAGCCUCCCUUUAGCUAGAGUAACAUUGAAUAACCGUUCCACAGGGAACUUGAGCUUCUGUGAAGAUCCCCACCAAUUUGAUGUGAAUUGUUCUACAGUGAUGCCCUCUGACUUGAAUCUCCGGUCCUUUCCCUCUACACUGAAACCAGGGACCUUGAACCAGAGAACUCCUAUAAGGAGCAGACCCAAACAAACAUGAGAACCACGGCAGGUUUGUGGAGACAGGCCUGCCUAUAGGCUGCACUGGCAAUGUGAGAUCAGACCCCAGCUGCUUCUGAGAGCAGGAAAAGCUGGAGCCGGGAGGGUUAAAAUAGGUUGCCUUAACUUUUAUGAAGCAGACAUAUUUAAUUUUUACCCCUACCCUGGUUUCUACAUCAGUCCCUUCAGACUCUACCAUCUGGUGGGGCAUGUGCUGCUAUGGAAGUUCUUCAUUUGACUGUGGAAAAAGGGGAAACAUGAUGCAACAAUUAUUUUUGCAUUUAAGAAUAGGAAAAAUACUAGAAAUAGGACAUCACUACAUUCCUUCAGUUAAUUAAUGCUACAUCUUAUAGGAUAUUGUGUUCUGCAAGAAGCAGCAAAGAAGUCUGUAGCCCUCUGAAGAGAUUCAUCUGCCACUCACCCAGUUGGCAAUUCUUAUUUUAAAGUCUCAAUAUCCAUAACCUGAACAGAUUGUCCACCACCUCUUGUUUUAUAGACAUUACACUGAAGCAGACAGGAAAGAUCAGCAUUAUACUUUGAUAUAACUGAAUGAUAAACAUGUAUUUCAAACUGAACUUAAGAUUCUCCAUGAAACAGUAAAGAAAGUCCUAUUCACAAGUGCUUCAGACUGUGCCUAUUAAAGUACUUCAGAAAUUAUCUCAGUAAACAAAAGAAGUCCAGUGCAAUAAAAUCAGUAACAUUCUCAAAUUGCAAAAAAA